AUAUCACAAUUAAAAUAUUCUGCUCUCUCACACUCUCUCUCUCUCUCUUCCCCUUUCCAUUUGUCGCACCCAGGCUGGAAUGUGACAAAAAAAUAUAAAAGGUCAAUUUCAUCAUGCAGGAACGAGUGUAGAAAAAGGGAGAAAAGAACAAAGAAGAAAAACAACAGCAAGUCUCUCUAAAACUUCAGUUAGUUUCACUGUAGAAAAAAAAUUGAAAGUGGGGUUAGGAAAAAAAGAGAGGAAGGAGGAGGAUAAGUUCAGGUAGCCUGAGGGACUAGGGAAGCCAAGAUGGGAAGACCACCUGGGUGACACUGGGAAGAUUAAGACCACAGUGAAUCAUGAUCACAUCCCUCUGCUGUACCUGAAUGGUACUUCCAAAGGCAAGAGCCAUCUGGUCAUCCUUAGUCAUGGCAAGGCAAGAGCCAUCUGGUUGACCUUAGACUUGGCAAGCUGGCAGCCAAGUCCAGUCUUCUCAGCUGACAUCUUGGAGAGAGAGACAGACAGACAGACACAAAUAGUGAGACAGGAGAAAAUCUUAAUUGUGUUAUUAAUUACUUUUCACCUUUGUUCACUCCAAACAGAAACAAAUCCAACAGUGAAUAUUUAACAAUAACAAAGAUAUAACAACAAACAAUAUUAAAGACAAAUAAGUGGGAGUGAACAAAUGUAACAGGUAAUUAAUAUCACAAUUGAGUUCUUCUAAUCUCUACUCUCUCUCUUGAUUUCUCUCUGUCAACUUCUUCAAGCAGGAAGGAGCACAGGAAAAUAUAAAGAGAAAACAAGAAAAAAAUAGAAAGUCACUCUAAGAACUGUGGAAACAAACUGAAAGUAAGGUUAGAAAAAACAGAGGAAGAAUGUCGAAAUAGUCUGAGGGAAUCAGGAGGCCGAGAUCAGAAGGCCACCCUGUAGAGACCUGGAAGACCCCCAGGGCACAGUGAAUCACGAUCCGAUCCCUCUGCUGGACCUGAAUGGUACUGCUGCUGAUGAGAGCCAUCUGCUCGACCCUAGACUUACCAAGCUGGUGGCUAAAUACAACCAUCGUGGGAAGAUCUGUCUCAAAAGAAAAAAAAUCCAAAAGGGAAUAUUUAACAGAAACAAAGAACUAACCAUGAACAAUAUUAAAGACCAAUAAAUAAAUAAGUGGGAGUGAUCAAAGGUGAAAGGUCAAUUAUAUCACAAGAUCUUCUCUCUCUCUCCAUUUGUCACAACCAGGCUGGAUUGUUCCAAAAAAAAAAAAAUUUAGAAGGUCAAAUUCAUCAUGCAGGAAGGAGGGUAAGAAUAUAUAUAGAGAGAAAAGAACAAAGAAGAAAUACAACAGCAACUCACUGCUGGAGUGUGACAAAGGAAAAUCUAAAAGGUCAACUUCAUUUACAGGAAAGAGUAUAGGAAAACAGACAAAAGAACAAAGAAGAAAAUAGCAAGUCACUCUAAGUACUGUGGAAAUAAACUAAAUGUCGGGUUAGGAAUAGAACAGUGGAAGAAGGUUCCAGUAGUCCCAAGGACUCGGGAGGCUGAGACACGAAGACUGCCCAGGUGAGACUACAGAGACUGAAGUUGCAGUGAAUCAUCACAUCCUGCUACUGGACUUGAACAGUACUGCUGCUGAUGAGAGCCAUCUGGGUGACCUUUGACAUGGCAAGGUGCGAGACAUCUGAUCAGCCUUUGACAUGGCAAGGCAAGAGUCAUCUGGUCAACCUUAGAAGUGACAAGGGACAGCCACCUGGUCAACCUUAGACAUGGCAGGAUGACAGCCAUCUGGUCGACCUUAGAGAUGGGAAUGCAAGAGGCUUCGGGUCCACCUUCAACAUGGUAAGGCUAGCGCCAUCUGGUCCAGCUUAGACAUGGCAAGGCAAGAGCCAUAUGGUCCACCUUAGUCAUGGGAAGGCAAGAGCCAUCUGGUUGACCAUAGACAUGGUAAGGUGGGAGCCAUCAAGUCUCCCUCAGACAUAGCAAGGUGAGAACCAUCUGGUCAACCUCAGACAUGGGAAGGUGAGAGCCAUCUGAUCUACUUCAGACAUGGCAAGGCAAGAGGCAUCUUGUUUUGACCUCAGACAUGGCAAGGAAAGAGCCAUCUGGUUGACUUUAGAGAUGGAAGUGCGAAAAGGGUUUGGGUCCACCUUAAUCAUGGAAAGGCAAGAGGCAUCUGGUCUAGUUUAGACAUGGCAAGGCAAGAGACAUAUGGUUCACCUUAGUCAUGGGAAGGCAAGAGCCAUCUGGUCGACCAUAGACAUGGCAAGGUGGGAACCAUCAAGUCCACUUCAGACAUGGCAAGGUGAAAGCCAUCUUGGUCGACCUCAGACAUAGGAAGUUGAGAGCCACAUGGUCUACUUAAGGCAUGGCAAGGCAAGAAGCAUCUGGUCAACCUCAAACAUGGCAAGGCAAGAGCCAUCUGGUCAACAUUAGAGAUGGUAAUGCAAGAGGCUUCAGAUCCAUCUUAGACAUGGUAAGGCAAGAGGCAUCUCAUCUAGCUUAGACAUGGCAAGGCAAGAGCCAUGUGGUCCACCUUAGUCAUGGGAAGGUGAGAGCCAUCUGGUUGACCAUAGGGCAAGGUGGGAGCCAUCAAGUCCACCUCAGACAUGGCAAGGCGAGAGCCAUCUAGUCUGCCUCAGACAUGGCAAGGCGAGAGCCAUCUGGUUAACUUUAGACAUGGGAAGGAGAGCCAACUGGUUGGCUUCAGACAUAGAAAGGCUAGAGCCAUCCAGUCGACCUCAGAAAUGGGAAAGAGAGCCAUCUGGUCAACCUUAAACGUGACAAAAUGAGAGCCAUCUGGUAGACUUUAGACAUAGAAUGGCAAGAGCCAUCUGGUCAACCAUAGAUGUGGCAAGGUGAGAGCCAUCUGAUUGACCUAGACAUGGCAAGGUGAGAGACAUCUGGUCAACUGAAGACAAGGAAAAAUGAAAGCCAUCUGGUUGAGCUUAGACAUGGCAAGACAAGAGUCAUCUGGCCGACCUUAGACAUGGAAAAAGAAGAGCCAUCUGUUCAACCUUAGACAUGGCAAGGCGAGAUCCAUCUGGUCAACCUUAGACAUGGCAAGAUGAGAGCCAUCUGGUCGACCUUAGACAUGGCAAGGUGAGAGCCAUCUGGUCGACCUUAGAUAUGGCAAAGUGAGAGUCAGCUGGUCGAUCUUAAACAUGGCAAGGUGAGAUCCAACUUGUCUACCUUAGAUAUGAUGAGGUGAGAGCCAACUGUUCAACUUUAGACAUGGCUAGGCAAGUGCCAUCUGGUCGACCUUAGAUACGGCAAGGCGAGAGCCAUCUGGUCGACCUUAGAUAUGGCAAGGUGAGAGCUGUCUGUUCAUCUUAGACAUGACAAGCUGGCAGCUAAAUGCGAUGCAUGCAGUCGACAUCCAUCUCAAAAUAAAUGAACCAACAGUAAAUAUAUAAUAAUAACAAGGAAAUAAUAGUGAACAACCCUAAAGACCAAAUAAUUAAGUACGAGUGAACAAUAAUAAAAGGUAAUUCAUGUCACAAUUUAAAAAAACUCCUCUCUCUUUCUCUCUCUCUCUCUCUCUCUAUUUGUCACACAGAGGGUGAAGUGUAACCAAAAAAAAAAAAAAAAAAUCCAAAGAUCAAACUCUGUGCAGGAAGGAGCAUAGGAGAAUAAAGGAUGGAACAAAGAAGAAAAAGAACAGCAAGUUACUCUGAGUAUUGUGGAAACAAACUGAAAUUAGAGUUAGAGAGAGAAAAAAAAAAGGUCCGAGUAGUCUCAGGUAUAUGAGAGGCCAAGAUGGGAAGAUCACUUGGGUGAGACUGGGAAGAUUGAGUCUGCAGACAUAUCAUAGGGCGGGAGAAGUGGGUUAAGGACAGCCUCUGUUUAAGGGGCAGCAGCAAUAGCCUAGGGUUGGCAUGAGGCUUGCAGAAGAGUUGGAGUCUGUAGGUUCUUGAUGGUCCCUGCCUUGGAGAUGAGGAGAGCAAGGUUUCUUAAUCCCAGUUCUAGGAGACCUUCAGUUACUCAAGGGUCCUUUGCCAGGUGGCCUGUGCCAACGUUGCUAGCCUUCUUUUCUUCAAAAAUAGCCAUUAGGAAUAAGGGAAGAGCUCACACUUUCCCCUCUCUAAAAGAAAAUAAAAGCCCCUUCCCCUCCAGGAAAACAAUCUUGAUUAAGAAUCAUCAGUUUAUCAGACUGCUGGACGUUGCAUAUACAGCAUGUAACUUCCAAUUCUUCCCAUGGUUUCUAGUGAAGAUUCCCAUUCUCUCCAUCCCUCCCUCCACAAAAGGCCAGGAGUUUCAGGGAGAACUGGCAAAAAGAACUAAUCUGCAGCAGUUUCUCAAAAUAUGCAAAUAAUCGAGUCAGGCUUCUUGGGAGAAAAUGGAGGGAAUGGGGAAGGGGGAGGCAUUGAGACAAUUAAAUUUCACUGGAAGAAGUUGGUAGUUGAUGGAAAGAAGGCAGUCACUUAGGGCUGUAAGGGCAGGAGGCAGCCUGGCAGUUGGCACAAUAGUCCAGCGAAGAAAAAGGAAAAUCAUCAGCCAAUUUCACCACCAAAAAGUAAAAGUACAUAUAAGCCCAGAUGGAAUGGAGAUAGUGGUGCUAAAUCUUCUGCAUCAAGGGUGUUG